rnacentral:lncRNA from 1 species
UUAGCUAACGGCACCCAGGACUGUGGUGUGAUGUAGCAUCCAUUUCAGAGAGGGAAAAAGUGCUUUGGCUGUCCCCUGCUCUAGGCACGUAGGCCAAAUGGACAGGAUUGUAUAAGAGAGAAAGAACUUCAUGUCACGACACUGGCAGAGCUGGGUAGACUUAGAGCAAACUAACUAGAAAGACGAACAGUGUCCCUUGAAAUGCACAAGGCUUCCUCUCUCGAGGGUGAAACACUCACCUAGUGUGUCCUUCAGGUUCUUCACGAGGGAGCCCUUCUUCAGGCUGUUCUUCCGCUCCACGUAGUUGGACGGUACAUAGCCCGUCCUGUUGGCCGCGUUCCUCACCCGCCACCACGUCUUGGAGUCGUCCAGCAACCACAGCCGCUCGUUCUUCUUGAUGUCCAGCUCCUGGUCCUGCUGGGCGGUGUAGUCCCACUUGGCUAUCACAAUAACUUCUUCUGUCAUCUUUCAUGGAGUCCUUCUGCCAGCAAAACAUUUGGAGAUGCUCAUUAGAGAACUACCCGGACACUUCAUCCUUUGCACCAACU